rnacentral:tRNA from 1 species
UCAGUGGUUGAGUCACCGGGCUCGUGCCGUGAUGGCGCCGGUUCGAUUCCCGCUGCCUGC